rnacentral:snoRNA from 1 species
CCUAAUGAGGAUAUUUAUCGAAAGCUAUGGAUCUGUUUAUCAGUUCCAUAUGAUGCUAUAUUGUCAUAGUUACUCUGAUGGGA